GAUGAGAACGUAGCGAAAUGCGAUAAGUAAUGUGAAUUGCAGAAUUCAGUGAAUCAUCGAAUCUUUGAACGCACCUUGCGCCCUUUGGCCAUUCCGAAGGGCAUGCCUGUUUGAGUAUCAUGAACACCUCAACUCUUCAUGGUUUUCCAUGAUGAGCUUGGACUUUGGGGGUCUUGCUGGCCUGUGGGUCGGCUCCUCUCAAAUGAAUCAGCUUGCCGGUUUUUGGUGGGCAUCACAGGUGUGAUAACUAUCUACGCUUGUGGUUUUCCACCAGGGUAACCUUCAGCAGUGGAGGUUCACUGGAGCUUACAAAUGUCUCUCCUCUGUGAGGACAGCCCUUUGAAUGUUUGAUCUCAAAUCAGGUAGGACUACCCGCUGAACUUAAGCAUAUCAAUAAGCGGAGGA
rnacentral:misc_RNA from 1 species